AUCCUUUUGUAGUUCGUGAGUAUGAUGACUGGGUGUUCACGCACGUGUGUGAGAUGUGCCACCCUCAAACCUUGUUACGAUGUCAGCUCAUUACCUAACUUGAAA